UCUAAGGCGCUUGAGAGAACUCAGGAGAAGGAACUCGGCAAAUUUGCACCGUAACUUCGGGAAAAGGUGCGCCCUGAUAGGUUGUAGCCCCUCGCGGGUGAAGGCUGAAAGGGUUGCAGUGAAAUGGUGGCUGCGACUGUUUAAUAAAAACACAGCACUCUGCAAACACGAAAGUGGACGUAUAGGGUGUGACGCCUGCCCGGUGCCGGAAGGUUAAGUGAUGGGGUGCAAGCUCUUGAUCGAAGCCCCGGUAAACGGCGGCCGUAACAAUAACGGUCCUAAGGUAGCGAAAUUCCUUGUCGGGUAAGUUCCGACCUGCACGAAUGGCGUAACGAUGGCCACACUGUCUCCUCCUGAGACUCAGCGAAGUUGAAGUGGUUGUGAAGAUGCAAUCUCCCCGCGGUUAGACGGAAAGACCCCAUGAACCUUUACUGUAGCUUUGCAUUGGACUUUGAACCGACUUGUGUAGGAUAGGUGGGAGGCUGUGAAGCCGGGACGCUAGUUCUGGUGGAGCCAACCUUGAAAUACCACCCUGGUUUGUUUGAGGUUCUAACCACGGCCCGUGAAUCCGGGUCUGGGACCGUGCAUGGUAGGCAGUUUGACUGGGGCGGUCUCCUCCUAAAGUGUAACGGAGGAGUACGAAGGUACGCUAGGUACGGUCGGACAUCGUGCUAAUAGUGCAAUGGCAAAAGCGUGCUUGACUGCGAGACCCACACGUCGAGCAGGUACGUAAGUAGGUCAUAGUGAUCCGGUGGUUCUGUAUGGAAGGGCCAUCGCUCAACGGAUAAAAGGUACUCUGGGGAUAACAGGCUAAUACCGCCCAAGAGUUCAUAUCGACGGCGGUGUUUGGCACCUCGAUGUCGGCUCAUCACAUCCUGGGGCUGUAGUCGGUCCCAAGGGUAUGGCUGUUCGCCAUUUAAAGUGGUACGUGAGCUGGGUUUAAAACGUCGUGAGACAGUUUGGUCCCUAUCUGCCGUGGGCGCUGGAAAUUUGAAGGGGGCUGCUCCUAGUACGAGAGGACCGGAGUGGACGAACCUCUGGUGUACCGGUUAUGACGCCAGUCGUAUUGCCGGGUAGCUAAGUUCGGAAGAGAUAAACGCUGAAAGCAUCUAAGCGUGAAACUCGCCUUAAGAUGAGAUUUCCCUGGGGACUUGAUCCCCCUGAAGGGUCGUGGUAGACCACCACGUUGAUAGGCUGGGUGUGGAAGCGCAGCAAUGCGUUAAGCUAACCAGUACUAAUUGCCCGUGAGGCUUGAUCCC
rnacentral:rRNA from 1 species